rnacentral:rRNA from 1 species
GACGAACGCUGGCGGCGUGCCUAAUACAUGCAAGUCGAGCGCGGGAAGCUUGCGGAAUCCUUCGGGAGGAAGUGAGCGGACCGAGCGGCGGACGGGUGAGUAACACGUGGGCAACCUGCCCGUAAGACGGGGAUAACCCCGGGAAACCGGGGCUAAUACCGGAUAGGUGACCUUUCUGCAUGGAGGGGUCAUGAAAGGCGGCGGAAGCCGUCGCUUACGGAGGGGCCCGCGGCGCAUUAGCUAGUUGGUGAGGGAAGGGCUCACCAAGGCGACGAUGCGUAGCCGGCCUGAGAGGGUGAACGGCCACACUGGGACUGAGACACGGCCCAGACUCCUACGGGAGGCAGCAGUAGGGAAUCUUCCGCAAUGGACGGAAGUCUGACGGAGCAACGCCGCGUGAGUGAGGAAGGCCUUCGGGUCGUAAAGCUCUGUUGUUCGUGAAGAAGGGGUUGGCCAGGAAAUGGGCCGACAUUGACGUAGCGAACCAGAAGCCC